GACGAACGCUGGCGGCGUGCUUAACACAUGCAAGUCGAACGGAAAGGCCCUGCUUUUGUGGGGUGCUCGCGUGGCGAGCGGGUGAGUAACACGGGAGUAACCUGCCCUUGACUUUGGGAUAACUUCAGGCAACUGGGGCUACUACCGGAUAGGAGCUCCUGCUGCAUGGUGGGGGUUGGACAGUUUCGGCGGUGGUGGAUGGACUCGCGGCUUAUCAGCUUGUUGGUGGGGUAGUGGCUUACCAAGGCUUUGACGGGUAGCCGGCCUUAGAGGGUGACCGGCCACCUGGGGACUGAGGUACGGCCCAGACUCCUACGGGGGGCAGCAGGGGGGAAUAUUGCACAAUGGGCGGAAGUCUGAUGCAGCAACGCCGCGUGUGUGAUGACGGCCUUCUGGUUGUAAACCGCUUUCGCCUGUGACGAAGCGUGAGUGACGGUAAUGGGUAAAGAAGCACCGGCUAACUACGUG
rnacentral:rRNA from 1 species